AUUUCAUCCUCCAAAAGGUUACUGACUAUGCAGAACUUCAUUCCAUUUUCCCUCCUAAUUAUAAUAAUGACUGAACAUUAUUUUUAAAUAAUUUACUUGAAUGUCUGCAGAAACUGCUAGACUUAUACAGCUUCAGGAGUGAAGCCAGAUAACUGAAACAGAGAAGUUCUAUGGAAGACAGAAGAACCCUGUCUAUGGAAGACAGAAAAACAGUGGAAGGUGAAAUGUGUAGGCUUGGCUUGACAUAACCAAUCUGGAUCAUGUCUACAAAGGAAACAAACUGCAUACAUUUUUGCUGCAAAAGAUAACAAACCCCACAAAUUUUCAGUAGUGGAUAUCUAAGAAAUGAACCUCACUGGACAAAAAUUAUAAGAACUAUGAAAGUCUGAGUUUCUGAAAUUGAAGAAGAGUUCCAGCUAGACCUUCCUAUUGUAAUCUGCAGUAAGAAGCACCCUCAUGGACAAUGAUGAUAAGAAUAUGGGGAGAAAAGCAUUUGAUGGAUGAGUGUGAUAAAUUUAGAGUUUAUUUUUUUCUUUGACAAAUUUUGUUAUUGCUGUUACAAUUUUGAUACAAUGGAUAAAAAUCAAGAUACUGAAAGGAUAUGCUUAACAAGGGUCAGAAGCUAGUAUUUCCAGUAUAAAAUUAUGUUGACAGUUAAACUA